rnacentral:lncRNA from 1 species
CUUCCAAAUCUUAUUUUGAAAUCUUCCAGAAGAUUGAAUCCCAUGUGUCUCUCCAUACUUCUAUUUCAUAUGCUUCAUUUCCAUAAACAAUAUACAGCCCUGCUUUGUGUUUAAAAAUUCUGCCAGUUCUUUCUUUGACUGAAACAUUGUGCUUUUACAUCCAUCCACACAAGGUCACUGAUGCAUGGUAUCCCAUUAGAAAGAGGUCCUGGUCUUGGUUUAUCCAGUUCCCUCGAGAUGGGCAUUAGCUUGCAUGCAGAGUUUCUUGUUAUUUUUUUUUAAUUAAAAAAAACAAAUAAUGCCCCAUGAAUAUCCUGUCCCACAUCUCUUCUGCUCACGUGUCAGGGUUUCUCAAAUGCCUUGAAGAAGAAUGGCCAGGUCAUGUGCAUUUGUAUCUUUAACUUUACUAGAUACAACCAACAUACUCUGCAAAAUACUUGUACCAAUUUACAUUCCAGCCAAGAGUGCCAGAGAAUUCUUUUUUCCCUGAGUUUAGCCAGGGAUGGGAUUUUCUCCUCUUUCUCUCCUUGGCAAAAUUCCCUUCAUCUCUAUCUUUAUUUUAUGAUUCAUUUACUUAUUUAUUUGUCUUUUUAGGGCCGCACCUAUGGCAUAUGGAAGUUCCCAGGCUAGGGGUCAAAUCGGCACAACAGCUGCCAGCCUAUGCCAGAGCCACAGCAUCUUCUUUUCCUCUCUCCCUCCCUCCUUCUCUCCCCUCCUUUCCUCCCCUCCUUUCUAUCUGACAACAGCAUAACAUUCCACUCUUUGGCUGUAUGACAAUACUUUUAAUAGUCUCUUCCACGUGAGCAUCUUUUGCUUCCAAUCAUGCCACAGUGCAUAAGGCGGCAAUUAAUUUCCCUAUAAAUUUCACAAGUAUAAGAACCUAUCUAAGAGAUCCCACUGUCAAGAAACAGGAUCAGCAGCGUCUUGGGAGUGCUGGGACAUGGGUUUGAUCCCUGGCCCAGCACAGUGGGUUAAGGAUCUGGUGUGGCCAAAGCUGUGGCUAAGUUCACGGCUGUGGCUUGGAUCUGAUCCCUGGCCCGGGAGCUCCGUGUGUGGCUGGGCAGCCAAAAGAAAAAAAAAAAAAAAGCCUAUCAUAAAGUUCUACAAAUGGAGUUCUUGGCUCAAAGCACAUGUGCAUUUGUAUUUUAUUUAUUUAUUUAUUUAUUUAUUUUUGGUCUUUUUGCUAUUUUUUGGGGCUGCUCCCAUGGCAUAUGAAGGUUCCCAGGCUAGGGGUCUAAUCAGAGCUGCAGCUGCUGGCCUAGGCCAGAGCCACAGCAACGUGGGAUCUGAGCCGCGUCCAUAACCUACACCAAAGCUCACGGCAACGCCGGAUCCUUAACCCACUGAGGCCAGGGAUAUAACCUGCAUCCUGAUGGAUACUAGUUGGGUUCAUUACCACUGAGCUACAAUGUAAACUCCGAAGCAUGUUUUCAUUAAGAGUCAUUUCUAUUUCCUUUUCUAUGAAUUUUCUUGUCAUACCUUUGCCCAGUUUGUCACUGUAUUUUUUUCUUAUUGAUUCACAGAUACUCUUUAUAUAUUGUGCUCCCCAACUAGGGUCAUGCCUUUCCUCAAAUAAGCACCCUGGGAUCCUAAUUCCCAUAGACUGGAACAAACAGACUCUCUUGAUGUGCCUGCACUUCCAUCACCCUGGGAGCUACCUGCACAGAGUGAACACACCUAGUGUUUCUGUGAAGGACACAUCCCUGACCCAGGGGCCUGAAGUGGGUGGAUGGGGACCCUGGUAUCCAGAGGCUGGCGAUACACAUUUCUAGCAUGACAUCACCAUGCAGACUAUGGGCCCAGGAGUUCCCGAUGUGGCACAGCAGAAACAAAUCCAACUAAGAACCAUAAACUUGGGAACCUCCAUAUAUGAUGCUGGUGCAGCCCUAAAAAAAGACAAAAAGACAAAAAAAAAAAAUGGGGAACGUGGGCCCAGGGGAGCCAGUUUUUCAAGAGAAGCUAGAAAUUAAUUUCUUUAUGUGAAAAUCUCCACUCAAAAUAUUGGUAACAAUUAGUUGGUACAUGAGCCCCUGAGACUUGGGCCGCCAGUUUUCAAAGGAUGGGUUACAAAAGUCCUAAAUAUAUGCUCAUGAGUAAUUUUCAUAACCAUCCCGGAGGGAGUGUGCAGAGGCAGACUUGAGGCUUAGAGUUAGGGAAGCAGUAUGCCUAAGGCCACCAGCCAGAAGGGGCAGGUGUGUGCUGGGGGAGACCUGCCCCCGGAACCUGAGCAUUUCUGAGGGAGCAGGGAACUCAUUCUCAGAGCCUGCUGGGGGGUGGGGCUUAGCCUGGGGCCUGAGUAGCCCCUGCCAGCACCAAGAUGGACAGGCCGAGCUCCAUUUGGCUGUGGCCUUCUCUCAGCUCUAGAUACUGUGCUGUCCGAGCCCACGCACAGCAAUUAAUCAUUGCCGCCUCGCCAGCGCUGGUAUAAUUAUCUUGUAUUAUGAGUGAAGUCUUGCCGGGCCCAGGCCUCCCCAGAGAGGCCAGGCUCCCUCCGAAAGGGGCUAAUGUCCCUCCCUUCACAGGCUCAGCAGGUGCACAGUAUGAGGGGCCUUUGUCAUACUCUCCUCAAUCCCAGGCCCACUAGACUCACAAGCUUCGGCAGGUUGGUGGAGCUGGGCACCCAGGGCUGGGUGAGCAAAGCAUGAGUGGUGCUGAGGAUGGUAUAACAGUAAAGAGAAAUGAUAAGGCUACAGUGCCUGCCCGCCGACCUGCCCUCAUUCUUCCAUUCCCAGAGUUGAGACUCAUGUGGGCCAACUGUCAGACAGGAUCCCAGUCCUUGGUCUGCUGCUGAGAACAAGGCAGGCCCCUUCCUCUGGGGGGCAAGCAAAUCUAAGAGGAGAUGCUUUUACAUGAGUCUCAGGGCUCACCCUAAAAGAACUAUGUGGUCCAGAAGAGUGUGGGGCAGAAAACGGCAACUGUGAUCUCUGACGGGUGACAUUUGGAUAGAGGCCCUGGGUGGGAAUAUUCCGCCCCAAAGAACGGUAAGGAGGCCAGUGUGGCUGCAACAAGGGGAAACCGGGCUUAAGGCGUCAGUAAGUCCUAUUACUUAUGUUCCAAAGGAAGUUGGCUUUUAUUCUAAGUUCAGAGAGUACGUUUUAAGAAAUGAUUUCUUGCU